CCCCUGUGCCCGGGAGUCAUGAGCUGCCCUCAGCACCCGCAGACCCGCCGGAGCAGCCUCCUGGCCGCAGCCCCCUGGCACUGUUAGGCUUCCCUGCUCCCCUGGAAGGUGCUCAUUGCUGACGAGGAGAACCAGCUGCGCCCACACCCAGCCUCCAGCAUCCCUCCCAAGGUUCCUUGCCUUGCCAGCAGGUCCUUGUAGGAUUUCGGCUCUGGGCUGUGUGUCUGAGGCUGAGCCAGGUGCCCCCCUGCUCCGUGUUGGGUCCCAUGAGACAGGCAGGACCACCCUGUCCUUCCCACCCGGGGCCACAGCACCCCCCUCUGCCCCCGCUGACCAGGACACCUCUCCAGCACCCCGAAGGAAGCUGCAGAGCUCUGCUGCCACGUGCAUGAGUGGAAAGCAGAGGAGAGGCCAAAGCCCAGUGUGCCCCUGGCAUCCGGUCCCCCAGCAUCCUGCCUUCAUCUGACCCAGGUGCUCUGUGUGGAUUGGACUCUGGGAAAAGCUGUGUGCGAAGGAUGCUUGGUCAGAGGAGCUCCCAC
rnacentral:lncRNA from 1 species